rnacentral:rRNA from 1 species
AACGAACGCUGGCGGCAGGCCUAACACAUGCAAGUCGAGCGAGGACUUCGGUCCUAGCGGCGGACGGGUGAGUAACGCGGGGGAACGUGCCCUUUGCUUCGCAAUAGCCCUGGGAAACUGGGAGUAAUACCGGAGGAGCCCUUUGGGGGAAAGAUUUAUCGGCGAAUGAUCGGCCCGCGUUGGAUUAGGUAGUUGGGGGGGUAAUGGCCUACCAAGCCGACGAUCCAUAGCUGGUUUGAGAGGAUGCUCCGCCACACUGGGACUGAGACCCGGCCCAGACUCCUACGGGAGGCAGCAGUAGGGUAUCUUAGACGAUGGGGCCAACUCUGGUCUCGCCAUGUCGCGUGAGCGAUGAAGGCCUUAGGGUUGUACAGCUCUUUCAGCUGGGAAGAUAAUGACGGUACCAGCAGAAGAAGCCCCGGCUAACUCCGUG